rnacentral:rRNA from 1 species
CCUACGGGUGGCUGCAGUGAGGAAUAUUGGUCAAUGGGCGAGAGCCUGAACCAGCCAAGUCGCGUGAAGGAUGAAGGAUCUAUGGUUUGUAAACUUCUGUUAUAGGGGAAUAAAGUGAGGAACGUGUGCCUUUUUGUAUGUACCAUAUGAAUAAGCAUCGGCUAACUCCGUGCCAGCAGCCGCGGUAAUACGGAGGAGGCGAGCGUUCUCCGGAUUUCUUGGGUUUCAAGGGUGCGUAGGUGGUUAAUUAAGUCAGCGGUGAAAGUUUGUGGCUCAACCAUAAAAUUGCCGUUGAAACUGGUUGCCUUGUGUAUAUUUGCGGUCGGCGGAAUGCG